rnacentral:rRNA from 1 species
CCUACGGGGCGCUGCAGUGAGGAAUAUUGGUCAAUGGACGCAAGUCUGAACCAGCCAUGCCGCGUGCAGGAAGACGGCUCUAUGAGUUGUAAACUGCUUUUGUACGAGGGUAAACGCAGAUACGCGUAUCUGUAUGAAAGUAUCGUACGAAUAAGGAUCGGCUAACUCCGUGCCAGCAGCCGCGGUAAUACGGAGGAUUCAAGCGUUAUCCGGCUUUAUUGGGUUUAAAGGGUGCGUAGGCGGUCGGAUAAGUUAGAGGUGAAAUCCCGAGGCUCAACUUCGGAAUUGCCUAUGAUACUGUUCGGCGAGAGAGUAGGUGCGGUAGGCGGAAUGUAUGGUGUAGCGGUGAAAUGCUUAGAGAUCAUACAGAACACCGAUUGCGAAGGCAGCUUACCAAGCUACUUCUGACGUUGAGGCACGAAAGCGUGGGGAGCAAACAGGAUUAGAUACCCUUGUAGUC